CGGGGCCGUUCGGUCCGACCCUCUGCGGCCCACACACAGCAGCUCCUGUUUGCCACCCAGAGCCCGCGCUGUCCCCAUCCGCUCCUGCGCACGCAGAACGGUCUAACUCUGUACAGGAACGCUUUUCAGUGCGCUCGGGCCCUCUCUGAGGUCUGUUCCUUUCUCUUCCAGACCCCCCAGCAGCCGAACGUUGCUCCUUCGUUGCUGCUCGGUGGUGGUGGAGGUGCGGGCAGCAGAGAUUCACUCCGUGCGGACGCUGAGGACGUCGGGAUGGGCCGCAGUGGGGUGCUGUGAGGGGCAGAAGGCGCUGUGUGUCCCCCCCCAACCCGAGGCACAGCGCUGAGCUGUUCUGUGUGGCCUCAGGCUGCGGUGUGAGGUGGAUGCGGUGCGUUGGGAGGUGCUGGAGUUACCUCAGGCUGCUCUGAAUACGGGGUGCUGCACACUACAGGCUGCUGUUGUGCUUACCUUCCUUUGGGCGCAGUCGCGGCUUAAAGGGCAAAAGGAUCCCAAAGCACAUCGUUUAAUUGCACUCAGCCUGCACAUGCGUUCCGUAAAUAAAGGAAUGAUGAAUUAGCACAGCUGCUGCAGCGUUCACACGAGCUCCUAAGGCACAAUCUCCUCGUGCGAUCAAUCCAGCCCCGUGCUUCGGUGUUUUGUCAUCAAUCGAGCUCAGGAAGAAAUGUUCUCCCUACCUGGAAUGCAGCGCUGCUGAACCAGCUGAGUGGAGGAAGACAUCCAGGAUGUGGCAAUCCGUCUCCUGUCCGUUCCAGGCUGCUGUAAAUAUCCACCCGGCGGCUCUCGGUGGGCGCUGAUCCCGCAUGGGGGCAGCGGGGAAGAGGUGUGGGGUCUGCAUGGAGGUUAUCCACCUUUGCUGGAGCUCAGUGCUGUUGCAGGGCUUGCUUGGGAGCGGUGAUUCCAGGCCACGUGCUUCCUCCUCACACCUCAGCUGCAAAAGCCCUUUUCCUGUGCUGAGCGUGAAGCAUUCCUUGCAGCUCUGCUGUUAAAAAGGAUGCUAAUUACCCCUAAUCAUCCUGCAGCAAAAACAGAGGGCACGGCUGCCACGGAGCCUGCUUAUUCCAGACUGACUGAUCAGAAGGGAUCACGGAGGGCACAGAUGUACCAAAUUCAGGAGUCCUGCCCGGGCUGAGGCUCCUCUUUGGAGCACCACCACUAAAUGGGACAGCGGGGAGGUGGGGAUGCAGCGCUGGUGGAUGCGGUCAGGUCGAGGAGUGGUGCUGAAGGGGAAAGAAGCAACAAGAAUUCGUUGUCUCAGGGCCUGAAUGGCUGCUGGGCCUUCCCCUUCCAUCCCAGGUGAAAGAGACUUUCCUUUUUAUUCCUCCCGGGAUAAAAGGAGGCUCUCAGAGCCUGCAUUUCCACUGCAGCGGCGGUGUGAUUUUCACCCCGUGUCCAGACAAGAAAGCACCUCUGUAGCCUCUCCCCGCGUCGGAGUGGGACAUAACAUCCGAAUCACUUCCAAAAGCUCUCCAUUAAACUGAUUUACUGUCGGCAGCUUUGGUACAUGGGGCUCUCAGAACCCUCUCCACGCCCCAUAGAGCCCCUCUCUGCCUGCAGGACCCCCUGCGUGCCACACCUCCACGCGCUGCUCCACCAUCCCCGCUGACACACACAGCCCCGCUGCUCCGGCGAGGUUAUAAUCCUCUCUUUGCAGAGGCAGACACGCGGGCCAGCUGGAGGCAGCCCAUUAAAGUGCCAUUUACUGGGCACAAGCGAAUUUGUGUUCCCCAGGACUGGGAUUUGCCAAGAUUAGACCAUAAAUUAGAG
ensembl:lncRNA